UUGCUACUCCCUCCGUCCGGAAAUACUUGUCCUCGAAAUGGUUGUAUCUAAACUUAUUUUAGUUAUAGAUACAUCCAUUUUAUCCAUUUCUAGGACAAGUAUUUCCGGACGGAGGGAGUACGUC
rnacentral:pre_miRNA from 1 species